rnacentral:misc_RNA from 1 species
CCGAGUUUACAACUCCCAAACCCCUGUGAACAUACCACUUGUUGCCUCGGCGGAUCAGCCCGCUCCCGGUAAAACGGGACGGCCCGCCAGAGGACCCCUAAACUCUGUUUCUAUAUGUAACCUCUGAGUAAAACCAUAAAUAAUCA